rnacentral:misc_RNA from 1 species
UGAUGUUAAAAUUGAUGAAAGGCAUGAUGGAAGAGACAAACGGCCUAAUGAAGCUCCUGAUAUCCUAACCGGUGGAAGGCAUUAUGAACAGGAGAAAGAAAACACAGAGAAACUAGAAGUUAUGGUUGAUCCUGUUCAUGCCAUGUUAAUUGACAUGAUUCCUAGCCUUGGAAUGAAGAGUGCGGAAACUACGAACCCGAUUCUGGAUCGUGAAAAGCCCCCUGUCGAUCCUACUGCACAGCCUGCAAAGAAAAAGAAAGUCAGCUACAAGGAUAUUAUUGGUGAAAUGUUCAAGGAUUGAUAUGAAUGCUGUAAUUUAUCUGGAGUAUUUUGUUUUGUUGCCAAUUUUGCAUGUAAUUGUAAUUUAGGUUUAAAAGAAGGCAAAUCUAGCUGUUGUAUUUUAUGGAUAAAAUGUGUUUUCCUCAAAUGUCUAUAUUCUUAGUAAUGCACUUUGUCUAGUACUUCCAGGUUAAUAUGUUCACACUUGCUGUUUAUGUCAUUUCAACAAUUUUGUGUGCUCUAAAUUCAUGUACUGGAUAUUAGUAAAACAAAAUUUGGAACCCCGAACAAAA